rnacentral:rRNA from 1 species
GACGAACGCUGGCGGCGUGCUUAACACAUGCAAGUCGAACGGAAAGGCCCUGCUUUUGUGGGGUGCUCGAGUGGCGAACGGGUGAGUAACACGUGAGUAACCUGCCCUUGACUUUGGGAUAACUCCACGAAACUGGGGCUAAUACCGGAUAGGAGCUCCUGCUGCAUGGUGGGGGUUGGAAAGUUUCGGCGGUUGGGGCUGGACUCGCGGCUUAUCAGCUUGUUUGUGGGGUAGUGGCUUACCAAGGCUUUGACGGGUAGCCGGCCUGAGAGGGGGACCGGCGACAAUGGGACUGAGAGACGGCGCAGACUGCUACGGGACGCAGCAGUGGGGAAUAUUGCACAAUGGGCGGAAGCCUGAUGCAGCAACGCCGCGUGCGGGAUGACGGCCUUCGGGUUGUAAACCGCUGUCGCCUGUGACGAAGCGUGAGUGACGGUAAUGGGUAAAGAAGCACCGGCUAACUACGUG